GGAAUAUUGGGCAAUGGACGAAAGUCUGACCCAGCGACGCCGCGUGAAGGAAGAAGGUCUUCGGAUUGUAAACUUUAGUCAACAGGGAAGAAGAAAGUGACGGUACCUGUAGAGGAAGCCACGGCUAACUACGUGCCAGCAGCCGCGGUAAUACGUAGGGGGCAAGCGUUAUCCGGAUUUACUGGGUGUAAAGGGAGCGUAGACGGGAUGGCAAGUCUGAAGUGAAAUCCUGCGGCUUAACCGCAGAAUUGCUUUGGAAACUGUCAACCUGGAGUGUCGGAGAGGUAAGCGGAAUUCCUAGUGUAGUAGUGAAAUGCGUAGAGAUUAGGAAGAACACCGGAGGCGAAGGCGGCUUACUGGACGAUAACUGACGUUGAGGCUCGAAAGCGUGGGGAGCAAACA
rnacentral:rRNA from 1 species